rnacentral:lncRNA from 1 species
UUUUAUUUGUUUUUCUCCUUACUAUAUAAGGAUAAGAAACAAUUGUAAGAGGCAGCUUUUAAUCAAACUUUUCAGAAUUUCUUUCAUGCCUUUGGCGUGUAUUGCUUUGAGUGAGAGUGAGGAUUUGCUUUCAUCAAUUGCACCAGGAAUCUUGGCUAACUUAUCAACUAUUCGUUGUGGCGUUUGUCGAAUUCUCAUCUAAAUCCUUCGAUCAUUGGUGUUUCAGCUUCUCUAAGUUUGGGGUGCCAUAGGAGGUGGGUUUAUCAGAUCUUUGGAUUCCGUAUCUACUUGUGCGUGUGAGUUUGAGGCUUGUGCCAUAGGGUUCCGUGUCAGUUGGUAUCAGAGCAUUAACCUUUCUUCUUUGCCUUCUAGUUUUAAGUCUAUGAUGCAGGAAUUCACUGAUGUCUUUCCAGAUGAGCUACCUAGUGGAUUGCCACCGUUGAGGGGGAUUGAGCAUCAAAUAGAUUUUAUACCUGGUUCUAGCAUUCCAAAUAGACCAGCUUACCAAAGCAAUCCAAUGGAAACAAAUGAAAUGCAAAGGCAAAUUGACGAGCUUAUGGAGAAGGGAUUGGUGAGAGAAAGUUUAAGUCCAUGUGCUGUUCCUGUGCUGCUUGUUCCAAAGAAGGAUGGCACUUGGCGAAUGUGUGUUGAUUGUAGAGCAGUUAACAAGAUCACAGUGAAGUAUAGACAUCCUAUACCUCGGCUAGAUGACAUGUUGGAUGAGCUUCACGGUGCCAGGUACUUUACAAAAAUUGAUCUUAUGAGUGGAUAUCAUCAGAUUAGGAUGAAACCUGGUGAUGAAUGGAAAACUGCAUUUAAGACAAAGUAUGGUUUGUAUGAAUGGUUAGUUAUGCCUUUUGGUUUGUCAAAUGCACCUAGUACGUUUAUGAGGCUAAUGAAUCAUGUGUUGCGUGCAUACUUAGGAAAAUUUGUAGUUGUUUACUUUAAUGAUAUCUUGAUCUAUAGCAGGUCUCUCGACGAACAUAUUGAGCAUGUUAGGUUGGUUCUACAGGUUUUGAGGCGAGAGAGCUUGUAUGCUAAACUUAAGAAGUGCACAUUUUGUAUAGAUAGACUUGUUUUCCUUGGUUUUGUUGUGAGUGCACAGGGAAUUGAGGUAGAUGAAGAGAAGGUGAAAGCUAUAAAGGAGUGGCCUAUUCUUAAAUCUAUUUCAGAUGUGAGGAGCUUUCAUGGCCUUGCAAGCUUUUACAGGAGGUUUGUGCGCGAUUUUUCUAUGAUUGCAGCACCACUCACAGGAAUUAUUAAGAAGGAAGUUGGGUUCAAAUGGGGAGACGAGCAACACAAAGCUUUUGACUGCUUAAAAGGGAAGUUAAUAUCCGCUCCUAUAUUAUCUUUACCUAACUUUGAUAAAACUUUUGAAAUUGACUGUGAUGCUUCUGGCGUAGGUAUUGAGGCUGUGUUGAUGCAAGAGAAGAAACCAAUAGCCUAUUUCAGCGAGAAGUUGAGCGGAGCACAUCUCAAUUAUUCAACCUAUGAAAAGGAGUUGUAUGCCUUGGUGAGAGCACUGGACGUGUGGCAACACUAUCUCCUGCCCAAGGAGUUUGUGAUACAUACGGAUCAUGAGUCCUUAAAACACUUGAAGGGACAAGGCAAGUUGAAUAAGAGGCAUGGUAAGUGGGUUGAGUUUAUUGAACAAUUUCCAUAUGUGAUUAAGUAUAAGCAUGGGAAAGACAAUGUGGUUGCAGAUGCUUUGUCUAGGAGGUUUGCUUUAAUUAAUGCUGUGAGUUCUAAAUUGCUUGGUUUUGCGCAUGUUAAAGACUUGUACAUUAAUGAUGUUGAUUUCGACAAUGUGUUUGUGGCUUGUGAGCAUGGAGCUUUUAACUCUUUUUAUAGGCAUGAUGGUUACUUGUUUAAGGGUAAGAAAUUGUGUGUACCUAGAUGUUCUAUGCGUGAUUUGCUUGUGCUUGAAUCUCAUUGCGGUGGUUUGAUGGGGCAUUUUGGAGUACAUAAGACUUAUGACACCUUAUUUGAGCAUUUUUAUUGGCCUUCUAUGUGCAAAGACGUUGAGAAAGUGUGUGCUUCUUGUAUUGCAUGUAGACAGGCAAAGUCUAAGUCUAUGCCUCAUGGUCUUUAUAUGCCUUUACCUGUUCCUAGUUCACCUUGGAUGGAUAUUUCUAUGGACUUUGUGCUUGGCUUACCUAGGACUAGGCGUGGUAGAGAUAGCAUAUUUGUUGUUGUGGACAGGUUUAGCAAGAUGGCUCACUUCAUUCCUUGCCAUAAAACUGAUGACGCCAUCAAUGUCGCUGACUUGUUCUUCCGAGAAGUGGUUCAACUUCAUGGAGUACCAAGGACAAUUGUGUCAGAUAGAGAUACAAAGUACAUUUCACAUUUUUGGAAAGUAUUGUGGGGUAAGUUGGGUACUAAACUCUUAUAUUCUACUACUUGUCAUCCACAGACAGAUGGCCAAACAGAGGUGGUGAAUAGAACUCUUGGUACCUUACUCAGAGCUAUAGUGGGUAAGAAUUUGAACACUUGGGAAGAUUGCUUGCCUUUCAUUGAGUUUGCAUGUAACCGUAGCAUACAUUCUUCUACGGGGUUUUCUCCAUUUGAGCUUGUUUAUGGUUUUAACCCACUAACUGUACUUGAUCUUGUUCCUUUACCUUUACAUGAGCUUGCUAGUUUAGAUGGUGCUAAAAAGGCAGAAUUGGUGAAGUCCUUACAUGAGAAGGCUAGGUCUAACAUAGAAAAGAGGAACAAGGUGUAUGCUGACAGGGCAAAUAGGAGACGGAAGAAAGUGGUGUUUGUUCCUGGUGAUUGGGUUUGGGUGCACUUCCGAAAGGAACGAUUUCCAAAUCAGAGGCAAAAUAAGCUGGAUGCUCGUGGUGAUGGUCCAUUUCAAGUCUUAGAGCGAAUCAAUGACAAUGCUUAUAAAAUAGACUUGCCAGGUGAGUAUGGGGUUAGUGCUACCUUUAAUGUGUCUGACUUGUCUCCUUUUGACCAUGUUCCAGAUUUGAGGACAAAUCUUUUCGAGGAAGGAGGGAAUGAUACGAACCAGCAAACCCAAUCACAUGAGAAUCAAGGAAGCAAGGAUCCAUUGGUGCUCCCUAGUGGACCAGUGACAAGGAGCAAAGCUAAGAAGCUUGAAGCAGCUAUGAACUUACACAUUCAAGAACAAAUAACACAAGAAUUGACUGAGCUUGCCUUUGGCAAAUGUCUCGUGAAGCUUGAAGACACACCUAAGCUACUCACCUUGCUUAAGGUGUGUAAUGGAGAUAGUGCUGUCUAAUUUAUUCAGCAUUGAUAUGAUGGGCUUGCUAUAUUUUUAUGAUUUAACACUUGUUUUAUUUUAGCUUUGUUUGGGCUUGUAUUCUGGCCAUAUUUUAUCUUUUAAGUUUUAGAGUGUUGGGCCAUGCUUUGGGCUUAUGUUUUAAUACUUAUGCGUUAUUUAGUGUGUGAUUGGGCUUGGGCCUUAGGUGUUUAAGUCAGACCCAAGAAGAGUGUCUUAGGGUUUUAUUUGUUUUUCUCCUUACUAUAUAAGGAUAAGAAAUAAUUGUAAGAGGCAGCUUUUAAUCAAACUUUUCAGAAUUUCUUUCAUGCCUUUGGCGUGUAUUGCUUUGAGUGAGAGUGAGGAUUUGCUUUCAUCAAUUGCACCAGGAAUCUUGGCUAACUUAUCAACUAUUCAUUGUGGCGUUUGUCGGAUUCUCAUCUAAAUCCUUCGAUCAUUGGUGUUUCAGCUUCUCUAAGUUUGGGGUGCCAUAGGAGGUGGGUUUAUCAGAUCUUUGGAUUC